rnacentral:rRNA from 1 species
GUCGAGAAUCUUCCGCAAUGCGCGAAAGCGUGACGGAGCGACACCGCGUGAUGGAUGAAGUCCUUCGGGGCGUAAACAUCUUUUAUAAAGGAGGAAAUUUUUGACGUUACUUUAUGAAUAAGGGGCUCCCAAUCUCGUGCCAGCAGGAGCGGUAAUACGAGAGCCUCAAGCGUUAUCCGGAAUCAUUGGGCGUAAAGGGUGCGUAGGUGGUUUGAUUAGUCUCCCGUUAAAACUUCGAGCUUAACUCGAAAAGAGCGGGGGAAACGGUCAAACUAGAGUAUGUGAGAGGUGCGUGGAACUCAUGGUGUAGGGGUGAAAUCCGUUGAUAUCAUGGGGAACACCAAAAGCGAAGGCAGCACACUGGCACAUCACUGACACUGAGGCACGAAACCUAAGGUAGCGAAUGGGAUUAGAAACCCCUGUAGUCC